rnacentral:tmRNA from 1 species
GGGGCUGACCGGUUUUGACAGCGGGUUAUGAGUCUCGAAGUAAGCAUGCCGAGCGUUGUAAGGGCUCUCGUUAAUCGGAACUUUCAAACUACAAAUGGCAAUAAUAGCUACGCACUCGCUGCGUAAUUUUACCAAGUAAAAUUACCUUAAUCCGCCCGGUUCAGACUACCGGGCCGACGAGUACCCGUUCGGCAGGGACCGCUUUUAGCCCUGUCGGGCAAUGGGUAUCAUUCAAUUAAAAGAUAGCUUGCGGGGUGUCCGGCUCCGUGGGCGAAACUCAACGGACUACGGAAUGGGUUCGGGUGUCUCCCCCCUGGCCUUUUCCCGACAAUCAAGCGGAGACUAAGCAUGUAGAAAGCUUUGGGGUUCCUCGUUUGGACGAGGGUUCGAUUCCCUCCAGCUCCAC